rnacentral:lncRNA from 1 species
GUAUCAAGACUAGCAAAGCUUAAUGGGUGAGGUAUGGUUAAGUGGUGAGGUUGCAGCAGCGGCUAAGCAUAUAUUUGGUGGCUAACUUACGAGUACAAGAAAUAAGAGGGGGGGGAAGAUCUACGCAUAGCGGACGUGAAUUACUGAUGAUCAAAUGAAUGAUCCUGAACACCUACCUACGUCAGACAUAACCCCACCGUGUCCUCGAUCGGAGAAGGAACUCACGAAAGAGACAGUCACGGUUACGCACACAGUUGGCAAGUUUUAAUUAAAUUAACUUCAAAUUAUCUAGAACCAGUGUUAAACAAAGUUUCCACGUUGCCACAUAACCGCGGGCACGG